rnacentral:miRNA from 2 species
AUUGACACCUCUGUGAGUGGA